rnacentral:rRNA from 1 species
GGGCAGCACAAAGAUAGUUUACUAUUUUGGUGGCGACCGGCGCACGGGUGAGUAACGCGUAUGCAACCUACCUUAUACAGGAGUAUAGCCCGAAGAAAUUCGGAUUAAUCCUCCAUAGUAUUUUCUAAUGGCAUCAUUUGGAAAAUUAAAGCUUCGGCGGUAUAAGAUGGGCAUGCGUCCUAUUAGCUAGAUGGUAAGGUAAUGGCUUACCAUGGCAACGAUAGGUAGGGGGCCUGAGAGGGUGAUCCCCCACACUGGUACUGAGACACGGACCAGACUCCUACGGGAGGCAGCAGUGAGGAAUAUUGGGCAAUGGAGGCAACUCUGACCCAGCCAUGCCGCGUGCAGGAAGAAUGCCCUAUGGGUUGUAAACUGCUUUUAUUUAGGAAUAAACCCCUCUACGUGUAGAGGGCUGAAUGUACUAAACGAAUAAGCACCGGCUAACUCCGUGCCAGCAGCCGCGGUAAUACGGAGGGUGCAAGCGUUAUCCGGAAUCAUUGGGUUUAAAGGGUCCGCAGGCGGAUGUAUAAGUCAGUGGUGAAACCCUGCAGCUUAACUGCAGAACUGCCAUUGAUACUGUACAUCUUGAAUUCGGUCGAAGUGGGCGGAAUGUGUAGUGUAGCGGUGAAAUGCAUAGAUAUUACACAGAACACCGAUAGCGAAGGCAGCUCACUAGGCCUGGAUUGACGCUCAGGGACGAAAGCGUGGGGAUCAAACAGGAUUAGAUACCCUGGUAGUCCACGCUGUAAACGAUGAUUACUCGUUUUCGGCGAUAUACAGUCGGAGACUAAGCGAAAGUGAUAAGUAAUCCACCUGGGGAGUACGAUCGCAAGGUUGAAACUCAAAGGAAUUGACGGGGGCCCGCACAAGCGGUGGAGCAUGUGGUUUAAUUCGAUGAUACGCGAGGAACCUUACCAGGGCUUAAAUGCAGAGCGAAUAGUUUGGAAACAGACUAGCCUUCGGGCGAUCUGCAAGGUGCUGCAUGGCUGUCGUCAGCUCGUGCC